UUUAGGGAGUAUUAUGAAGUUUUACUAAAUUAAUUGAUAAAAAAAAUUGAACGAUGCUCAUUUACCAUGAAAAAGAUUUUAGCAUACAUUAAUACAAAUGUAGAACAUGGUAAAAAAUUUAAAACAACACUAAAGAAUAUAGGCUUCAGUAUAUAAAGUAUUUACCAAAAACUCAAUAUAUUUGUAGGGGUUAGCCCAUAGAUUUUGAGAAAAUUUCAAAAAAUAUGAAAAUAUUGUUUUAAUGUCUAGUUGCAUCAUGCACUAACAUAUGAUGAUGUUCAAAGAGGUUUGAAGCCUUUGUCUUCUCCGUUUAUCAAGAAAAUAAUAAUUAUAUAGUAGUUACUCCAUCGAUUUAGGGAGUAUUAUGAAGUUUUACUAAACUAAUUGAUAAAAACAAUUGAAUGAUGCUCAUUUACCAUGAAAAAGAGUUUAGCAUACAUUAAUACAAAUGUACAAUAUGGUAGAAAUUUUAAAACAACACUAAAGAUUAUAAGUUUAAGUAUAUAAAAUAUUUACCAAAAACUCAAUAUCUUUGGUGGGGUUAGCCCUAUAGAUUUUGAGAAAAUUUCAAAAAAUAUGACAAUAUUGUUUUAAUGCCUAGUUUCAUCAUGCACUAACAUAUGAUUAUGUUCAAAGAGGUUUGGAGCCUUUGUCGUCUCCGUUUAUCAAGAAAAUAAUAAUUUUAUAGUGGUUAUUGCAUCGAUUUAGAGAAUAUUAUGAUGUUUUAAUAAAUUAAUUGAUAAAAAAUUUAUUGAUUCCCAUAUACCAUGAAAAAGAGCAUAAAAUACAUUAAUACAAAUGUAGAAUGUGGUUAGUAUCUUUAAAGCAAGACUAAAGGUUAUAGGCUUGAAUAUAUAAAUUACUUACCAAAAACUCAAUAUUUUCGUAGGGGUUAGCACAUAGAUUUUGAGAAAAUUUCAAAAAAAUACGACGAUAUUGUUUUAAUGCAUAGUUGCAUUCUGCACUAACAUAUGAUGAUGUUCAAAGAGGUUUGAAGCCUUUGUCUUCUCCGUUUAUCAAGAAAAUAAUAAUUAUAUAGUAGUUACUCCAUCGAUUUAGGGAGUAUUAUGAAGUUUUACUAAACUAAUUGAUAAAAACAAUUGAACGAUGCUCAUUUACCAUGAAAAAGAGUUUAGCAUACAUUAAUACAAAUGUACAAUAUGGUAGAAAUUUUAAAACAACACUAAAGAUUAU
rnacentral:lncRNA from 1 species